UAAAGCCCUUUGUUUGGGCAGUUAUGGAGCAGUGAAGCGGCGCAGCUGUUCGCUCCCACAUGACGUGAACCUCAACCGGCAACAAUGCAUCGCUGGUACCGCGGAGGAGCAGAACUAUGACGGCACGAGACACAUUCACUCACCAUCCGGCGGCUGAGGUGUUUCUCUUCUUCGGACAAACUUCGCACAGACACGUUAACGCCGGGCAUAAUAGCCCCCCCUCCCGCGAGUCGCCAGAGAGGAGCAAACGGGAUAUGAUUUUCAGAGAGUAAAGAUCCCUCCAGUUCCACUACGGGGCCCGACUGGUCUCCUGACAUCAGCUGCAUCGUGGCCUCCAAGGACUCUCCUGCUGAGCUGUCACAGGGAUGCAGGACUUUAGCCAACGUGUCAAAGGCUCUAAGGAUGGAAAACACAAUAAAAGAUAACAUUUUUAAUUCUCAUAA